rnacentral:lncRNA from 1 species
CAAUUUGAAUUUUGGAAUGAUAUGGUUUCUUCUUACAGAUCCUGUCAGGUAUAUGUAUAUUGUGAAACGCUAUAUUGCAUCUGAUCACCAGAUAAUUGUGCCAACGGAGGUCUUUUAUCCCUGAGUUAUAUCAACUGUUGAUACUGUGCCUCAGAAAAUAAAAAAGGAUCAAACGAAGCAGUUUGUUCAACCGAAAAACUUCAAGGUCUCCAUCUCCAGAGCCUAUUUACAGCAGUGAUGGCAAGCGGAUGAACACGCGUGAGUACCGUACAAGGAAACGUUUGGAAGAGGAGCGACACACCCUGAUUGGGAAAAUGCAGAAAAUCAAUCCUGAUUUAAACCUCCAGCUGAUUACAAACCUCCAGUUAUUAGAGUAAGCGAUAAGGUCAUGAUUCCGCAAGAGGAGCAUCCCGAUAUCAAUUUUGUAGGACUCUUGAUUGGACCUAGAGGAAACACCCUGAAAUGUAUGUUCUAUCUGAACCAGUGAUGAGAACUUAAUGAGUGAAUUAAGUUCUUCAUUUUUUUUUAUUUAAUUUUUCAAAGAUUGUCUUCUUCUAGCAACGGGAAUACAGGAGACCCUCAUUUUUUUGCCCAAGUUGAGUCCUGUGGAAACGUCUCAAAUUAGGAGGAAAUAAAUAAGUAUCUGGAAAUUUCCGAGUUUGAUGUAUUCAAAAGAUUAGAACAUUAAAUUUCUUUUCAUGAAAUAUUGGGGUUCCUCUGGGUAGAAAAUCACCUUUAUGGUGCGUUCUAGACUGUCAGCUUGAAAUUCUGUGUAAAUGACAUUAAAGAGCCUAGCGCUUGCUAGAAGUCCUAAGGCAAGCAAGAAAAUUCGAAAAUAACACAAAAGCAACAGUACGGACCUAAGUGCAUGAUAAGAUGUAUCACAUAAAAAUUGAAAACUGUUAUGAACCCUCACUUCUACCUUUGCUGUGAAUAUGAAAAUCAACUAAAUAUCGCAUUUUCUGGGCCAAUUUUGUCAGUUCAAAAGCCUUAGCAUUAUAACAACAUCACAAAACCCUUAAACGCCGUUUAUGAUCAAUACGUAUU